AUUUGUGCUUCAACAACACACUAAAAUUGGAACAAUUACAGAGAAGAUUAGCAUGGCCCCUGCACAAAGACGGCACGCAAUAUAUGAAGCAUUCAGUGGGGCUUU
rnacentral:snRNA from 1 species